GGGGUGGCACAGCCCAGCCUGGCGACAAUGCUCCGGUUUAUUUACAAGCUGGCAGGGGGUGGUGGCACCGCCCCUGUCCCUGUCCCUGUCCCUGUCCCCAGUGGCUCCCAGCUGCCCCGGGGGUGGCCCUGCGGCCCCAAAGGGGGACAGGGAGGGGACACCAGGACACGUCCCCGAAGUCCCCGUGUCCCCUCGGGGUCCAGGGCCGUGAGGAGCGGUGGCAGCUCCUGGUGGCACCUCUGGUGGCACCUCCGAGGUCAGCUCUGGUGGCACAUCCCGGGUCACGUCCCAGGUGUCCUCAGUGUCACAUCCUGGGUGUCCCCAGGCUCGGCUUCUCGGGGUCACAAGGUGAAGAUCCCGUCCUUGGUGUCCCCAGUGUCCUCAAUGUCCCCAAUGUCACAAGGUGAAGAUCCCGUCCUCGCUGUCCCCAAUGUCCCCAGUGUCACAAGGUGAAGAUCUCGUCCUCGCUGUCCCCAAUGUCCCCAGUGUCACAAGGUGAAGAUCUCGUCCUCGCUGUCCUCGCUGUCCCCAAUGUCACAAGGUGAAGAUCUCGUCCCCGCUGUCCCCAAUGUCCCCAGUGUCACAAGGUGAAGAUCCCAUCCUCGCUGUCCCCAAUGUCCCCAAUGUCACAAGGUGAAGAUCUCGUCCCCGCUGUCCCCAAUGUCCCCAAUGUCACAAGGUGAAGAUCUCGUCCUCGCUGUCCCCAGUGUCACAAGGUGAAGAUCUCGUCCCCGCUGUCCCCAGUGUCCCCAAUGUCACAAGGUGAAGAUCUCGUCCUCGCUGUCCCCAAUGUCCCCAAUGUCACAAGGUGAAGAUCUCGUCCUCGCU